rnacentral:rRNA from 1 species
CUAACAAGGAUCCCCUAGUAACUGCGAGUGAAGCGGGAAAAGCUCAAAUUUAAAAUCUGGCGGUCUCUGGCCGUCCGAGUUGUAAUCUAGAGAAGUAAUGCCCGUGCUGGACCGUGUAUAAGUCUCCUGGGAUGGGGCGUCAUAGAGGGUGAGAAUCCCGUCUUUGACACGGACUACCAGUGCAUUGUGGUAUGCUCUCAAAGAGUCGAGUUGUUUGGGAAUGCAGCUCAAAAUGGGUGGUAAAUUCCAUCUAAAGCUAAAUAUUGGCGAGAGACCGAUAGCGAACAAGUACCGUGAGGGAAAGAUGAAAAGAACUUUGGAAAGAGAGUUAAACAGUACGUGAAAUUGCUGAAAGGGAAACGCUUGAAGUCAGUCGCGUUGGCCGGGGAUCAGCCUUGCUUUUGCAUGGUGUACUUUCUGGUUGACGGGUCAGCAUCAAUUUUGACCGCUGGAAAAAGACCUGGGGAAUGUGGCAGCUUCGGCUGUGUUAUAGCCCCUAGUCGCAUACAGUGGUUGGGAUUGAGGAACUCAGCACGCCGCAAGGCCGGGUUUCGACCACGUUCGUGCUUAGGAUGCUGGCAUAAUGGCUUUAAGCGACCCGUCUUGAAACACGGACCAAGGAGUCUAACAUGCCUGCGAGUAUUUGGGUGGAAAACCCAAGUGCGUAAUGAAAGUGAAAGUUGAGAUCCCUGUCGUGGGGAGCAUCGACGCCCGGACCAGAACUUUUGGGACGGAUCCGCGGUGGAGCAUGUAUGUUGGGACCCGAAAGAUGGUGAACUAUGCCUGAAUAGGGUGAAGCCAGAGGAAACUCUGGUGGAGGCUCGUAGCGAUUCUGACGUGCAAAUCGAUCGUCAAAUUUGGGUAUAGGGGCGAAAGACUAAUCGAACCAUCUAGUAGCUGGUUCCUGCCGAAUUUUCCCU